CCUACGGGUCGCAGCAGUGGGGAAUAUUGCACAAUGGGCGCAAGCCUGAUGCAGCCAUGCCGCGUGUAUGAAGAAGGCCUUAGGGUUGUAAAGUACUUUCAGUUGGGAGGAAGGCGUUGAUGCUAGUAUCAUCAGCGAUUGACGUUACCAACAGAAGAAGCACCGGCUAACUCCGUGCCAGCAGCCGCGGUAAUACGGAGGGUGCAAGCGUUAAUCGGAAUUACUGGGCGUAAAGCGCACGCAGGCGGUUGAUUAAGUUAGAUGUGAAAUCCCCGGGCUUAACCUGGGAAUGGCAUCUAAGACUGGUCAGCUAGAGUCUUGUAGAGGGGGGUAGAAUUCCAUGUGUAGCGGUGAAAUGCGUAGAGAUGUGGAGGAAUACCGGUGGCGAAGGCAGCCCCCUGGACAAAGACUGACGCUCAGGUGCGAAAGCGUGGGGAGCAAACAGGAUUAGAUACCCCGGUAGUC
rnacentral:rRNA from 1 species